CACGAACGCUGGCGGCGUGGAUAAGACAUGCAAGUCGAACGGGACAGGUAGCAAUAUCUGUCUAGUGGCGAACGGGUGCGUAACACGUGGGCAACAUGCCUGGAAGAGCGGGAUAGCCCGGGGAAACUCGGAUUAAUACCGCAUGUGACAACGGGGCGGCUUCGCCCUGUUUUCAAAGGUGGGGACCGCAAGGCCUGCCGCUUCCAGAUUGGCCCGCGUCCUAUCAGCUAGUUGGCGGGGUAAAAGCCCACCAAGGCGACGACGGGUAGCUGGUCUGAGAGGACGACCAGCCACACUGGAACUGAGACACGGUCCAGACACCUACGGGUGGCAGCAGUCGAGAAUCUUUCACAAUGGGGGAAACCCUGAUGGAGCGACGCCGCGUGGAGGAUGAAGGUCUUCGGAUUGUAAACUCCUGUCAUGAAAGGACAAGCGAUGCGGGUGAACAGCCCGCAAAGUUGAUAGUAUUUCAAGAGGAAGGGACGGCUAACUUCGUGCCAGCCGCCGCAGUAAGAC
rnacentral:rRNA from 1 species